rnacentral:rRNA from 1 species
GACGAACGCUGGCGGCGUGCUUAACACAUGCCAGUCGAACGGAAAGGCCCUGCUUUUGUGGGGUGCUCGAGUGGCGAACGGGUGAGUAACACGUGAGUAACCUGCCCUUGACUUUGGGAUAACUUCAGGAAACUGGGGCUAAUACCGGAUAGGAGCUCCUGCUGCAUGGUGGGGGUUGGAAAGUUUCGGCGGUUGGGGAUGGACUCGCGGCUUAUCAGCUUGUUGGUGGGGUAGUGGCUUACCAAGGCUUUGACGGGUAGCCGGCCUGAGAGGGUGACCGGCCACAUUGGGCCUGGGAUACGGCCCAGACUCCUACGGGAGGCAGCAGUGGGGAAUAUUGCACAAUGGGCGGAAGCCUGAUGCAGCAACGCCGCGUGCGGGAUGACGGCCUUCGGGUUGUAAACCGCUUUCGCCUGUGACGAAGCGUGAGUGACGGUAAUGGGUAAAGAAGCAACGGCUAACUACGUG